GAAAUGCGAUAAGUAAUGUGAAUUGCAAAUUCCGUGAAUCAUUAAAUCUUUGAACGCACUUUGCGCCUUUUGGAAUUCCAGAAGGCAUGUCUGUUUGAGAAUCAGUUUAAAUCUCAUACCCUUAAUUAGGAAACUAGUUUUGGCGUGUGGUUUUGAGAUCUUCAAUGAAAAUUGAAUUUCUUUAAUUAUACGUUACCUGGUUUACUCACUAGCUUUGAACCGGAAAGCAUGACCAAUGGACUGGCUUCGGCCUUUCUUGAUUGCUGAUAAAGGACUUUGUUUUUGGGAGUUAAUUCGGUAAAUACUUAAAACACGAAGGCUCUGCCUUUAAGACUUGAUCUCAAAUCAGAUAAGACUACCCGCUGAACUUAA
rnacentral:misc_RNA from 1 species